UUGACUUGACUUGACCUGUGGGAAAGCACCAGUCUUACAAAUGAAAUGAAUACCUUUAGUUGUGUGUCCCUGUACACCCGUUAAAUGGUGGCACUGGGCUGGUGUGCGAAAACCAGACCAAUAGAACCAAAGUAGACAAAUGAAACCCACAUUUUAUGUAGUAUUUACACUGUUGGCCAUUUAGAAUAGAUUGAUGACACGGCAGAUCUCUUUGAGUGAAGCCAACACCUCCUUAUUGCCCCCUAGUGGAUGGCUGCAGUAUAUAGCCAAUAAAGCCUGCCUCCUAUAAAUACGACAAGACUCAAAUUAUAAGAUCAAAAAAACAAGACAAAUGUUACAAAAAUGAUAUAAUCACAACUGACACUAUCUUGGAGUUUGCUUGUCUCAAUUGGCUGGAAUCUAGCAAUCCAGCAACCUCAGUGUAUGGAAUUAUAUGUUUGUGGAAAUGAAUUUGUGUUUCAUGGUUCACAGAAAUUUUGGUACUUUUUGAACAUUUUGUUCUGGAUGGUACGGUGUUAGAACUUCCUGUCUUUUGGCACUUAACCAAGGUCAAAUUGUGAACAUACUGAUCCUGGAUUGAUACAAAUAUGAUGACUGGAUUGCUUUAGAAACAUUCGAGAAUAUCCAGCCAAUCAGUAGCCCAUAGAAGUUUGUUUACUGCAAAAUCCAAGCAUGACCAACCCAUGUAGAUAUACCUCUUGGACAAAGGUAAAGGGUCUCCUGUGCAAAGAAAUAUCUAAGAAAUAUUUGAAUUUCAACAUAAAAAACACCACAAAUUCCAUUUCUAAGAAGGAACUGAAUGCUUUAAGUUUCUAAUAUCAUUAUCUAUGCACUGAUCUGAGUUGGUGGGGUUACUGACUAGUACAGAGUGAUGUAAAGGCGGGAAAACACCCAAAAAAAUGUGGCGAGUGCUCCAGAAGAAUCCGAAUCUGACCCCAAACAGAAAGAGAAAAGUGUUGAAGUGUAUCAUCCACCAUUACAACAUCAUGCCCCAAAGUGGUGUGUUGAAAUUCUCAGUGUUAUUCCUACUUUCAUGCCUUUUAUGUUUAACUUAAUCCAGCAACACUAAAGCAAAAGCACAGCAGUGUAGGAGGAAGAGGAAUUGCUCAAGGAGUUAGUGGUUUUGCAUACAUGUUUAUGCAAAUUUGUCAUUAUGACAACACAGGAGCCGAUUCAUAUGUUCAUAGGAGCAAAGCCUACCCUGUAGGGGUCCCUCUCUUUUCCUCUGUGAUUACAAAAUAUGGGUGAGUGCCCCCUACAGGCCUGGAGCACUUUUGUUGUGACAUUAAGAUAUGUAGCGACUCUCUACUUUGCAGUUGUUUUGUUUUACAGAUUACAGAUCACUUCUUAGAUUACAGCCUAUCUAUGUAUUCAUGCAGUUUUUGAGCCUUUUUGCAGUAUGAUGUUUUAUUUGCGUUCCUAUCAGAUAUGGAAACUUCAGAUAAAUUGGUCUAAUUGGCCCUUGUAAGUUGCCUGUUGAAAAACACCACUUAACCAUUCAGAUAUGUUUUCACAGAGACUGUUAUUCUACUGAGUGCACAAACAACAUUAUCACGUAUCAAAAGCAGUACAUCUUGUAAAGUACUGUACAUGCAAAAGUGUGGAGGCUAAAUGGUCAAAGAGGCCGGAGUGGCUGAACAGCUGCUAGUUAUUUUGGUGUAAGCUGCUUCUGUCGUUUAUUAAUAAGUUCAGAAAGUCAUCAUCGUUCAUUUACUUGAAUUUCUUACACUUACUGAAGAGUGUGGGUGUUAAUGAAGGUGAUUCACUAGUCACUCUCUUCUCACUUGAUAUAUUGGUAUACUUGCCUGAGUGUUGGAGCAACUGUUUCACGCAGAGUUGGUUUUCAUUAAUGCAGUAAUUAAUAGAUGGAUGUGUUUGCUUAAAUGGUCACUGUAAUCAUCUUGUUAGUUUUAGAUGUGAAUAUAGAAACUGAUUUCAUUAGAGCGACUCUUCAUACCUCAGGCUGUUGAUGAUUAGCUGAAGUUAAUGUAGCCCUUUGCCAAAGAGACAGUGUGCAAUUCAAGCUGGGUAAUGAUUAGGGUAUAAUUAUAACUGCUAUGCUCUAAGCAUGCUUUACAGCGGCCUAAUUGCUCUAUCUCCAGCCUAUAUGAGGAUCUUUUGUAACUUAUUUUGAAGACCACAAAUAUAUGCCUUUGAAUAUGUCAUAUUUAUCUUUAUAAAGUUUCUUUCAUUUUCCCUUUUUUAUUUUCUUGUCACGCCUCUUGGACCGAGCAGUUUCAGGAACAUCAGUUUCUCAGUUUUAAGUCAUGAGUUUGGAUUAUACCCUUUCACAAAGCUCAACAGGAAAACAACAGCAGAUUUUGCAGGUGUAGAAGAACAGGGAGAGGAAAAUCACAGGCAGAUAUCAAAGAAUAUACCUUUGCAAGCAAUAUAAAGAAAAUUAAAGACUUCAAACUGUCUGAACCAUAAUCACAAAGGGCUUUUAUGCCUCCUAAAUCUGUGCAAAUGAGACAAAAAGAUCACGCAUAAUAGACUGAGGAUAUGCAAUAGGGUAAAUGAGCCCCACACCAUACUCUGGUACUAUUUGCAAACCCAUAAGUAAGCCCUUGUGUAUCGUUGUGGGGUGAAAUUGGACCCUCUCCUAUGCAAAUGAACUGCUCUAACAGUCAUGUGAAAUUCAAGUGGAAAUAUCACCAUCUGCUGAGACAAGUAAACUAGGGUGACCAUAUUCUGACUUCCAAAAAAGAAGACACGACAACACGGGGGCGGAGUCAUGGAGUCGCACAAAGUUAAUUUUGAGAGUUUUUCGGUCGGAUUGUGUGUGUUUUACGCGCUUCUAACUCAGUAAGUCAGCAUGACACAAACUCGGAAAUUUUGUACAAAACCACGAAUAUUUGAAGGAUUUUAUAAACUUACCCGGACAAACCCUGACAGCCCCCCAAAAAGAGGACAUGUCAGGGUAAAAGAGGACGUACGGUCACCCAAAGUCAACACAGCGUUGAUAAUACUUUGACUUUACUUUGGUUAUCAGAGGUUAAGUUGGUCUUGGACCCUCCAGGGUGUAGCCACGGGACGAGUGUGAUUGUUAUUUGGACAAACUGUUCUUCCUCGAUCAUUCCAGAGAGAAACUUUUAUGACAGUUCUAACAAACUUCUGUUUAUCUGUUGGCUUCUCUAAGCUAAGACAAAGCAGAUGCAGACAGCUCAGAUGCAUGACUGGAUGCAACACAAGAGUAAACUGUGAAAACAAAGGGUUAUUUUGUGCUGAAACAUCACUGAUACAAUCUCACACUUGAUAGACCAAGUGCUGAAACUCUGCCCUUUAAGAAGAAUCCCACAUGUGAAACCCUAAAAACCCAGCCUUCAGUCUGUGCUUGUUUAAUAAGCCUGACUCCUGAACUUAUCAAACAUCCCUGGCAGAAAUGUCGAGCCUGAGCACACAACAAACCAGACUGAUGAAGCUUCCACACACACUUCACACUUGUACUCUCAGAAGCCUUUUCUUUGUGCGAGCUGCAGGGCUCUGGAAACAGAUUGACUGCUGCUGCUGCUGCCGACAGACUGGAGCUACACUCUUUCCCUGCAGCAGCUGGCAGAGCGUAGAAGUAAUGUGACAUCCGACUCUGGCUGCUGGAAGAUGCCUGGAACUGCUGAAGUCUUUUCAUCUGUUACCCUGCAACCAACAACAAGUCCCUGCAGCCCUUCCUGUCCUCAAUGUAUGUGCUUUGCCUUCGCACUUUGAUCAUUUCUCAUGUUCGUCCGUCCUUUUGAACAGCAACCAGCGAUUGUUUUUUCUUGCCUCUGUGGGCUGGCCUUGUUUUUCACAUUGGCAUGCAGUUCUUUUGAUCCCAACAUCAGUGGUAUCCUGAAUGACUUCUUUAUUGAUGUACAAAUCACUCAGCGGCACAAUGAGAACUACAUCUCUGUCAGACUCAGUCGCUUUUUUGAUGAUACAUUAGAGCAGCCAGGUAAACUCCUCUGAAAGCAAGUCAUUAAAAUAAUUAGUGCAAUUUCAUUCGGUCGGAUGACGGAUCCUUUAUUUGAAGACAAAUUGGAAUAAGUUUAACAAGCACAAGCCAUUCAUAUGUAUAAAUAUUAAGAGAAUCAGUCUUUUUUUAUUAAGAGACCAACUGGAAAUACACUGGGGUGAAUAGGAGUGGGCACGACUACCUGAAAUUUAAAUGACUGUUUGUUUUCAGCUCUUGGUGUUGUGAGUUUAGUAAUCCUUUUUUAGUGUGUUACAUAACUUUUCACAAGCCCCAAGCACUGAAGAAUAUUGGAUUCCUGCUGUGCCUCACAUCUUAAAAGUUUAACAUCCUUAGUGGACAAAGCUUCCAGACCAGAAGUUCUUUAAACUUUGAUUUUAUAACUCUUGAAAGUUUUUCAAAUCACAACUUCUGGCUUUUGACACUUGCAAAUCUAAUCCAACUUUUAAUCUUUAAAUAAAAUGAUGUUUUUUUGCCACAGUUGUCAAAUUAAAAAACAUCAUUGAACACUCUGAUUUUGUGAAUCAUCACUUUGAAAUCAAGUUAUUCUCUUGGCUUGAAUGAGCAUCUGUAAAAAAAAAAUGUGAAUCUGGAGAAGCCAAAGCCGCCACUCGAGAGGGACAUACAAACCAAUCUGAUUAAUUUGCGUAAAACAAGCUUUUAGGAUUCCCGUGGCUACAAAGAAUCAGUGGAUCUGAAUCUUUACUCUGGGGGCUGUCCAGGGUGUCCAGCCUUGCCCGGGAAAGUUGAUAAAAUCCUUCAAAUGUCCACGGUUUUGUAUGGAAGAUUCGAGUUUAUGUCACGUGGACUUACUGUGUUAGAAUCCAACCCCAAAUACUUGUGUGACUCUGUAACUCUGCCCCCGCGUAGUCGUGUCCCUUUGUGGGGGACUCAGAAUAUGGUCACUCUACUUUCUUUUACUUUCUUUCACCCUACUUUUUUUUCUUCGCUGGAGUUUUCAUCUACUCUGUAAGUCAUGUCAAACUUAAAAGUUGAGAUAACACCAAGCAUGAAUAACAUAAUUCCUGUGAAUGACACAAUUAGACGCAAGUUCUUGUCAGGUGAUGUGGAUUAAGUCCAACUAAACAGAUUAUAUGUUCAAAUGAUGCUGAUUACAGCGCCAAUGUGCUACUCGCCUCAUUCGCUUAUUUGCAGGAGUUGAAAAAUCUGAACUCAAUCUGAACUUUGGAGAUUUCUGGUGACUUGUGCGUCAACAACUGAUCAAAGGAGGUAAAUUCAUAAGGGGCAAACUAAUGCGACUGCCUGAGGCGACCUGAGCGAGAGGACACGACUUCUUUUUGAGUACUGAAGCAGGAAUAAGAAAGGAGGAAUAAGUGAGGAGGUUAGAUUAUCUAGUAAAUAGUGCAAACAAAACAAAUCCCGACAGUGUUAUAAACUUUCACCAUCUAUCCAUCCAUCUUCAACCAUUUAUCUGGGGUCUAUCUAUCUGGAGAAGAGAAGCCCAGACUUUCCACUCCCCAGCCACUUCAUCUGGCUUCCCUGAGAGGCGUAGACUCUCCAGCGUGUCUCGGGUCUUCCCUGCAGUCUCCUAACUGUGGGUCGUGCCCUAAACGCCUCACCAGCAAGGUGUCCAGGAGGCAUACUAAUUAGAUGCCCAAGCCACCUCAUCUGACUCCUCUCAAUGCGGAGGAGCAGCGGCUCUACUCCCAGCCCCUCCCGAAUG